ACUCCUACGGGAGGCAGCAGUGGGGAAUAUUGCACAAUGGGGGAAACCCUGAUGCAGCAACGCCGCGUGAGUGAUGAAGGUUUUCGGAUCGUAAAGCUCUGUCUUCAGGGACGAUAAUGACGGUACCUGAGGAGGAAGCCACGGCUAACUACGUGCCAGCAGCCGCGGUAAUACGUAGGUGGCGAGCGUUGUCCGGAUUUACUGGGCGUAAAGGGAGCGUAGGCGGAUUUUUAAGUGAGAUGUGAAAUACCCGGGCUCAACUUGGGUGCUGCAUUUCAAACUGGAAGUCUAGAGUGCAGGAGAGGAGAGUGGAAUUCCUAGUGUAGCGGUGAAAUGCGUAGAGAUUAGGAAGAACACCAGUGGCGAAGGCGACUCUCUGGACUGUAACUGACGCUGAGGCUCGAAAGCGUGGGGAGCAAACAGGAUUAGAUACCCUGGUAGUC
rnacentral:rRNA from 1 species